UUGGACAUGGGCGAAAGCCUGAUCCAGCCAUGCCGCGUGUGUGAAGAAGGUCUUCGGAUUGUAAAGCACUUUAAGUUGGGAGGAAGGGCAGUAAGUUAAUACCUUGCUGUUUUGACGUUACCAACAGAAUAAGCACCGGCUAACUUCGUGCCAGCAGCCGCGGUAAUACGAAGGGUGCAAGCGUUAAUCGGAAUUACUGGGCGUAAAGCGCGCGUAGGUGGUUCAGCAAGUUGGAGGUGAAAUCCCCGGGCUCAACCUGGGAACUGCCUCCAAAACUACUGAGCUAGAGUACGG
rnacentral:rRNA from 1 species